rnacentral:pre_miRNA from 7 species
AUCUUGCUUUGAAAGACCUUAAUGGGGAGACCCCCACUCAAGUCUCGAGAUGGUGUGCACACCCAAGGAAUCAUGAGAGACU